ensembl:lncRNA
CUCAACUCCAGCUGCGCUUGGAGGCUUUGCUGGCGCAGCCGCCCGUCGCAAAAUGCCCCCCUCGGCCUGCUCGCGACCGGCGGAGCGGGGUCGACUGGUCCCCACGGCCACCUUCGGGAAGAGCAGUUUGCAGAGCUCGAUGGCAUGCGGGGACACGGGGACAAGGCCCAGUUCCCCGGGAGCUCGGCCGGAGCUGCAGCCAGCAGGAGGGGGGAGCAGCUGCCCUGCCUUAGGCGGAGAUGCAGGAGCCGCUCGGCUCCCUCCUGCAACCAGGCAGUCGAAAUAAAAAGCAGCCUCCACCCAAAUCCAAGGUGCAUGUGGGUGGAGGGAUGAUGUGCAGCCUGGCUUUGCAAAAGGUCUCCCUCUGUGCAAGAGGAGCAAAGGGAGGAGGAAGCCCCACAUGCAUCGGAAACGUGGCUGCAGGGAGUUUGGGGGGCCGGAGCGCGGUUCGGAUCUGCGAGCAGAGGUGCUCUGGCUGCCCCAGUCCUUGCGUGUUUGGGCUCCCCGAAAUGCAUCCUGAAAAAGCAAAAUGUAGUCUGCUGUGCCAUGAGAGGGGACCUCAGCAGGGUGAGGGUCCCGAGCAGCACUGAGAAGGGCUGGCAGCACAGCAAGUUGUCAUCCUCCCUGGGGACCAGCGCAGAGGCAAGACUGAACAGGAUGAUUUAAGCCCCAAGAAACAAAGUCUGGAAAAGCUGUGAGCACAUGAAAAAUGGGGCUUCACCAGGACUGGCAAAGACUGCUGGGUGACUGAGUCUAGCUCCAGCUACCCCCACGCAAUCACAGCUUACCCUCUGGCUCCCGGUUGAGCGUUGCUGCCCUGCAACUUCGACUCUGCCUCUAAACGCACAGCCCACACGUUUCCAUGCUGGGUGGUUUAUAUCCAUUCCCCAUGUGCCAGCAGUGGCCUUCACGAUAAAUCCAUCUUUUCUCUGUGGUGAAAGGAUCAGGCGGUCUCAGUACGAGGCCCUGCUCCAGCCUGGCUCAGCUCAGGAAAUGCUCCAAAGGGAGUAAGUCGGAGUAUCCCUUCUCCGCGUCUUCCAGCGCCGAGGAGCAGUUGAUGAAAUGCAAAUGGCAAAUGCUGAGCUGAUAGAAGGAAAUCGCUCACCACAAAAUGUAAUCAGUCUACGGGACUUGUUGCAAUAAGAAGUCAUUCAGGCUGAGAACGUAGCAGCUUCCAAAAGGCUUAGUCAUGUAAUUGCCUGUCGAGAAUAUCCAGAGUUGAUAUAUUUAAUGAUAACAAACAAUCUGGAAAGCUUAAUCAGCCUCCUGCUUCAGAGCUUGAAUGAUUAGAAACGGGGAUGAGACAUUGUGUGGGGGAAGAUUUCCCCGUCCUCCAAGCAGGGGGUUCUCACAAGCAUUCAUCAAGCAGGUGGUGCUGGUUCCUACCAGCGAAAGCAGACGGGGACCGUCAGGCAGAUCCUGGCUGCCUCACACUCACGAGAUGCCAGCCAUGGGCAAGAAAUGUCCCUAAGCAGUGUUUCCCCAUCCCAGUGACACAGGAGCAGUUGCAGAGGGAUCCCAUGUCUGGUCCUGCUCCUGGUGGGUGUCCACGUGCUCGCUGGUGGCCGUGAAGCAGGGAGCUGAGGUAAG